GGUUUCCGUAGGUGAACCUGCGGAAGGAUCAUUACCGAUGUAAUCCAAAAGCACGACUCCGUCGUGACUACCGUGUGAACCGUACCAAACUAUUCAGGGGUCGGCCGGUCCGUUAAAUGGCGGUCGGACGCGCGUGCAUUGCGCGCGGCCGCUCCGCCAGCCCCGCCUGUGUUUUUUUAACAUACCUGUCUUGUCUGAAAACGUGACCACUGCCGUGGUCUAGAGCAAAGAAAAAAAGAGAGACAACUUUUGACGGUGGAUCUCUUGGCUCACGCAUCGAUGAAGAACGCAGCCAGCUGCGAUAAGUAGUGUGAAUUGCAGAAUUCAGUGAAUCAUCGAAUCUUUGAACGCAAAUGGCGCUCUUGGGUUCUCCCAGGAGCAUGUCUGUCUGAGUGUCGGAUAUCAUCCAACGCACCAAGUGGUGCGGCGUUGAGGCGUCACGGCCCUCCUCGCGGCCGUGUCCCUUGAAAGUCAGCGAGACUCGCCGCGGCACGGGUUCGUUCCCUGCACACUCGCGGAGGCUAAAAACGCUUUUGCCCUUCGCGUGCACGGGAGCGGCCCGCCCGCCGAGUCGCAGAGGCGAACACUUUUUCAACUCUUGACCUCAGAUCAGG
rnacentral:rRNA from 1 species